AUGGACACCUCUUCUCAUGAUGAGUUUGUCCUCGUGGCGGUGACACUAUGGUCGAUCUGGCAUGCAAGACGCAAGGCCAUCCACGAGUCAAUCUUUCAGAGCCCCCAUGCUACUCAUGGAUUCAUCACGAGCUUUAUUUCUGAGCUGGGAGCUCUCAAUGGCAACCAAGAGCAAACAAGGGCGAGCAGGACGCGUUCAAUGCAAAGAACCACGCAACCAAAGAAGCCACCUCGGGGUUACUGCAAAAUUCAUGUUGACGCUGGAGUUCGAGGGAGAACAGGAGGUUCUGCCGCGGCAAUAUGCAGGGACGAAGGGGGAAAUUUUCUCGGUAGCUCGGCGCUGGUGAUUGAUGGAGUUACUGAUCCGGCUACCUUGGAAGCAAUGGCUUGUCGGGAGGCACUAGCCCUCGCCGAAGAUUUGGGUAUCCACCAGUUUAUAGUGGCGUCGGAUUGCCAACAGGUGGUCUCUGAUAUUACAAGGAGGGCCCGGGGACAAUAUGGAGCUAUCAUUAGCGAGAUAAAUUUGAAAGUUUCUCUUUUUCAAUGUUCUUUUACUUUCGAGAGUCGUGCUGUUAACUAUGAAGCACAUAGAUUAGCUAAGUUUUGUUUGAGUAGGGGUCCAGGACGCCAUGUCUGGCUAGGUGCUCCACAUAACCCUAGAUGUAUCCCACUUCAUGUGGAAUUCCAUGAAUAA
rnacentral:rRNA from 1 species